UUGUUGGAAACGACUUGUAAUGCUCUAUAUGCCUUUAUUACAAAAGUAAGCAAGGGAAACAUUUAUGGCUUUGGGAUGGGACUGUACGGUAUCAGCUUGUUGGUAAGGUAAUGGCUUACCAAGGCUAUGACGCCUAACUGGUUUGAGAGGAUGAUCAGUCACACUGGAACUGAGACACGGUCCAGACUCCUACGGGAGGCAGCAGUGGGGAAUAUUGCACAAUGGAGGAAACUCUGAUGCAGCAACGCCGCGUGGAGGAUGACACAUUUCGGUGCGUAAACUCCUUUUAUAUGAGAAGAUAAUGACGGUAUCAUAUGAAUAAGCACCGGCUAACUCCGUGCCAGCAGCCGCGGUAAUACGGGGGGUGCAAGCGUUACUCGGAAUCACUGGGCGUAAAGAGCAUGUAGGCUGGUUUGUAAGUUGGAAGUGAAAUCCUAUGGCUUAACCAUAGAACUGCUUCCAAAACUGCAGACCUAGAAUAUGGGAGAGGUAGAUGGAAUUUCUGGUGUAGGGGUAAAAUCCGUAGAGAUCAGAAGGAAUACCGAUUGCGAAGGCGAUCUACUGGAACAUUAUUGACGCUGAGAUGCGAAAGCGUG
rnacentral:rRNA from 1 species